rnacentral:tRNA from 1 species
GGGCCGGUGGUCUAGCGGUCUAGGACACCAACCUUACGAGGGGGGGUUCGUGGUUUCGAAUCCCACCCGGCCCACCA